AGAGUUUGAUCCUGGCUCAGAACGUACGCUGGCGGCACGCCUAACACAUGCAAGUCGAACGAAGUAGCAAUACUUAGUGGCAGACGGGUGAGUAACAUGUGGGUAUCUACCCUUUGGCCUGGAAUAACACGAGGAAACUUGUGCUAAUACCGGAUAAGUCUUUACGGAGAAAGCUUUAUGCACCAUUGGAUGAGCCCGCACUUGAUUAGUUUGUUGGUAGGGUAAUGGCCUACCAAGACUAUGAUCAAUAGCUGAUUUGAGAGGAUGAUCAGCCACACUGGGACUGAGACACGGCCCAGACUCCUACGGGAGGCAGCAGUAGGGAAUCUUAGACAAUGGGGGAAACCCUGAUCUAGCCAUGCCGCGUGUGUGAUGAAGGCCUUAGGGUCGUAAAGCACUUUCGCCAGAGAUGAUAAUGACAGUAUCUGGUAGAGAAACCCCGGCUAACUCCGUGCCAGCAGCCGCGGUAAUACGGAGGGGGUUAGCGUUGUUCGGAAUUACUGGGCGUAAAGCGUACGUAGGCGGAUUAGUAAGUUAGAGGUGAAAUCCCAGGGCUCAACCCUGGAACUGCCUUUAAUACUGCUAGUCUUGAGUUCGAGAGAGGUAAGUGGAAUUCCGAGUGUAGAGGUGAAAUUCGUAGAUAUUCGGAGGAACACCAGUGGCGAAGGCGGCUUACUGGCUCGAUACUGACGCUGAGGUACGAAAGUGUGGGGAGCAAACAGGAUUAGAUACCCUGGUAGUCCACACCGUAAACGAUGAAUGCCAGACGUCAGCAAGUAUACU
rnacentral:rRNA from 1 species